ensembl:lncRNA
CUUCAACUGGACAAAGUGGAAACAGGUGGAAUUUACAAGCCAACAACGGAUUUUUGAUUUCAGCUGGAAACCGUAACUUUUCUCUCUCAGGUGAGCACUAUUAAUGAGUAGAUGGAAUCCAGCGUUCUGAUUGGUUAAGAGGGAGUCGCGGGAGGUUGAGCGGAAACGUACAGUUGGUGUUCACGUUGACCCGAGCGUUCCUAUCACUGCGCACUCAAAGUAACAGGUGAGCUUUUUUCGCAACCGUUAGUUGACAUUUCAGUCUUUAGCUCGGUGGCGAUCGCCGAAAAAAACCCCGUAAAUCCCGCAAAUCGGUUUGGGGCAAUGCGAGCUUUCGCAACUGGAAAAUUAAGGUGGACAUCAUGAGCGAUGUGAAUGAAUGAGAUGAUGCGGGACCCAAUGCUGUUCAUAAAGCAUAGUAUCCUGCCUGCAAGCUGUGUUUCCUUAUAAUUCCCUGUACAGCAUGUUUUACAGGCCUAACCAAGCCCUGGGGAUCUGGGUUGAUAGUCAAAGCCUCGUGGGCUGCAGGUCUCCAGCCUGACCUGCAACUGCCGAUGUGCUGUGUGCGAGGAACGACCUAAAUCAACAUAAGAAGUUCCUUGUUGCUGUGAAGAAGCAUAUUAAAUGUUUGUAUGUCUGUUGUUGCUUUUACUUCUUCCACGACUGCCUGCCAAGUGAAUACAGAUGGAAAUUAGGUCAAUAAAUCAUCAUUUCACAUGGCAGUGCUUAAUAACAUCAUUGGAGUGAAAUACCAAAAAGAUGCAAAUUUAUCAGUGUUUCCGUGUCUUCCAUUCAAUAAGUAAAUUAGAUCAAAGCCUCAUUACUCAAUACAACUUUCUGGAAAAUUGUCAGGGCUUGUGGAUGCUGUAAAUUAAAAUGAGGUCCUGCUAUUGAUGUUAACUAGUUGUUAAUUAGGGGAAACAUUUAGCCAAUAAUGCUGCUCUAAUCACACGAGUAGAUUCCCCCCCGGAGUCCGAUCUGUAACUAAG